rnacentral:rRNA from 1 species
UACGUAGGGGGCAAGCGUUGUCCGGAUUUAUUGGGCGUAAAGAGCGUGUAGGCGGCCACACAGGUCAGCUGUGAAAACUCGAGGCUCAACCUCGAGACGUCGGUUGAAACCGUAUGGCUAGAGUCCGGAAGAGGAGAGUGGAAUUCCCGGUGUAGCGGUGAAAUGCGCAGAUAUCGGGAGGAACACCGGUGGCGAAGGCGGGUCUCUGGGCCGAUAUUGACGCUGAGGAGCGAAAGCGUGGGGAGCAAACAGG